CCUGGCUCAGAUUGAACGCUGGCGGCAUGCCUAACACAUGCAAGUCGAACGGCAGCACGAUCUAGCUUGCUAGAUUGGUGGCGAGUGGCGGACGGGUGAGUAAUGCGUAGGAAUAUGCCUUAAAGAGGGGGCCAACCUGGGGAAACUCAGGCUAAUACCGCAUAAUCUCUUCGGAGAAAAGCUGGGGACCUUCGGGCCUGGCGCUUUAAGAUUAGCCU
rnacentral:rRNA from 1 species